rnacentral:miRNA from 1 species
UGAGUUGGCCAAAAAGUUCGUUUGGGUUCUUCCAUGAGAUGUUACAGAAAAACUUGAACGAACUUUUUGGCCAACCCA